rnacentral:lncRNA from 1 species
UCACUUCACUUUCACCUUUGAAUUAUUUCAAACACCACAAUGCACUCAUUGCUGCAACACCACUCCAUUUUACCCUCCAUGCUUUGCAUCAUUACUUCAUUUUCACCCUUGAAUCAUUGCACACACCACCAAUUUCCCUCUGUUGCCGUGCACUUCCUUUAUAAAAGGAAGUGUGUGUGGCAACCAUAUAGUUUAGUUUUUGCUUGAUCAUUCAUCCCCAUUUCAAUACAACCUUCAUCCAAACACAUCCAUUCAUUUUUACAUCCAUUCCUCCAUAUAAACAAACCUUCAAACACUCACCAACACCUUAUGCCGUAGCAAAGGAAGGGAAGGAAAGUGCUUGGACGUGCUUGCUGUCCAACUUGGAUCAUUAGAGCGUUUAGGUGUUUUCUUUCUUUUGUUUCUAAUGUUUAAAUUCAUUUCCUUUCAUUUUGUUGUAAAUAUGAGUGGCUAAACCCCUCUUGGCUAGGGGUGAUUUUAAAGCCAUGAUUAUGUGUGCAAUAUAAUUUGAUAAAUUCCAGUUAUGAACUCUUGAAUCGUGAAUGCAAUUGGCUUAACUAUUUGAUUGAUAACUUAUUUGUAUUUGUUAAUUAAGGGUCAACACUUAAUUGGCAUGCAUAAAUCCGUUGCUAGAAUAUAAGGAAGUUUCACAUAAUCGUUACAAACUUAUAUUCACAUGUAGUGAAGGUCACUUAUAAACGAUCGCGUUAAGUUCAAUUCCUAGCAUGAGUGGCAUGAUGUCAUAGUUGCAAGUGCUUUGUCAAUGCUUAUGAUUUUCAUUAAAUGUAAUGAUCUUUGAUUGUAUCUCUAUUAUGAUGUCAUGUAGGGAACUUUAGAAGAAUGUUUUGGGUUGU